rnacentral:lncRNA from 1 species
CCUCCCCCACCCCCAUCUCUGCCUCAGGUGGCCGUCCUGGCAGCAGCUACCAGACAAGCCCUCAGAGACCCGGCUUCCUCAGAUGACCUUGGACUUCCAGCAUUUCAUCUCCUCUCCUGUCUUCCACCCCAGGUAACAGAGUUGUGGCUGGUGGUACUGUGGAGCGCUUCUAGAAGAUUUACGUGUAGCACCUGCUUCACUUGCUUCUGAGAAAGUCUUUGUUGCUAGAUGUCCACUCUCUCCCCCUGGAGCCGGCCAGAAUGGUGACAACCAGAGAGCCUGGGAAACCUCAUGCUGAAGUCCGUGGAGCUGCUGUCAGGCUGGCUCUGCCACUACCUGCAACUCUUUAGUUUAGCAGCCUAGUGUAAUGAGGUCAUAUGACAUUUUCUGUUUUCUUCCAAAAGUUUUCAAGUUUUCCUUUUCACAUCUAGAUUUUAAAUCUGCUUGGCCUUGGCUGUUAUGAUGGCCAUAAAUUAUAGAGUCUUUUUUCAAAUGAAUAAACAACUAUCCUGUUACCCA